UUUAUUUCAUAAUUUUAUGCUAAAUUAUAUUGCAUAUUUUAUAUAACAGACAAUGAUCAGAAGAAUACUCUGCUAAUGUUCCUCGUAUGUAACAAUUGUGAUACUCAGAGCUUUGUGUAUCCUUUGCAGAAACCACUCAAAAACAUUAAGCAGUUUGAGAAUGUAAAAUUUGGUUACAUAAUAUGUAGUUUACACAAAAAGUCAUUUUAAAAUUCUUAUUUAUUUUAGUGUCAUAUCCUGUAGAUAUUUUAAAAUGAUUUUUAAGGAAAUAAAAUAACAAUUUUUUCCAC
rnacentral:lncRNA from 1 species